rnacentral:sRNA from 1 species
GCACCUUAUAAAGCGGGUGCCGGGGGUCGCAGCCCGGAAUUGCAUACGGCGAUAUAUGACGCGCCAGCGUCUUUUUU